GAAGACAACUUCGAACUGCUCCAUUGAAAAUAAACUUCGUUCCCUUGGAGUUCAUGAGGCCAAUGAGGUCUGAUCUUCAUCUCAGUAAAGUCCAGGGACGCCAGGUGGCCCGUCCACGGUUCCCAGUUUAUUCCCUAAGAGCCAGGAAGGCGAUGAUGCUGACAAUGUAUCCCUUGCCCAUCUGGAGGCUGGACAUGGCAAAGGUGAGGAUAUAGCCUUCAAUGUCAGCCAGAGGAGGAGUCCAUGUCAACAUGGCUGAAUCCAUGGUCACAUCCGAAGCCUGCAGGUCCUUGGGAGCGUCGAUCUCUGUCAGAUACAUCACAGCAGACGUCGCAUCAAUCAUUCGUGCAGCUACGUAAUAUUGUACCUCAUUGUAGUUUGGAUGGUGGGUGCCGUAAAGCGUGAAAUUGCUAUCAUAAUUAUAUUUUACUUAACAUGCAUGUUGGCUUAACAGUAUUCAGUUACCUUCUGUUGCUGAACCAGUUAGUAGCCAAUCUAGAAAACAUUUACCAUCAGGCAAACAUUUAAAAUGUGUUUAAAAUAAUAUAUAAAAGCAUAUACUUAUGUAUAUUUCAUUACAUUUAAAUAAUAUGAAUUAUUAAAAAUAACAACAAUAAAUGCAUACUUUUGAAAACAAAUACUUUUAUGCGUAUAUUGGGCCACUUGGUGUGUCCAAAAAUGUCUCAAAUGAAAAUAUUAUUUACUAAGUCUGACCCCUGAUGGAUAAAACUAGACAUAAUGAUAUAUAUCAAAGAAUGCGAAAAUCUGAAAAAUAAUGACUACUACCUUAAAAUACCCAAUAGUUAUAUAUGUUUUCAUUGGUAUAAUAAGGCACUUUGUUAAUCCAAAAAUGUUUCAAAUAAAAAUAUUAUAUUCUAAGACUAAAACGAGACAUUACACAGUACAGCUUAUCACUUUCCUCCGGCACUGUUCCCCUAGCAUUCAAAAAAGCGGUUAUUCAUCCUCUGCUCAAAAGACCUAACCUCGAUCCUGACCUCAUGGUAAACUACCGACCGGUCUCCCA